CGUGUCAGACAGACACGGUGCAGAAGUCCUGACUAGGCUGUUUACAUCAGACCCGUCUCCAGUCUUCCCAGCACUUCUAGUCUAGUUAGCUCUGUGUUGCCCUCCCACUACCCCAAGCAAACACCAACUUAAAGGGGGGGGGGGGGGAGGAACCACUUCAAACAUCUAGACCUCAUGGGCAAGCAGGCAAGACGGCUCAGCCAGAAGAUGCAAGCUUGACAACCUGAGUCUAAUACCUGUAACCCACAGAGAGGCCAAACUCAUGCUCCAGCUUCUAAAACUUGCCCACUCCACCUGUCAAUACCAAAAUCGCCCAAAGAGAAAGUUCUUCCCAGGACCCUGUGAUAGUGAGCAGACACCAGCGCUGUCCUCAGAAGAGGAAGGCUUUCCUGUUCCGCACAGCCCCCUGAGCAUUCAGGACAUCUAACAAACUAUGGCUUGAUCUUCAAACAAAAAACUUAGUCAAAACUAAGCAACUAAUCCAGAAGACCCACACUUGUGAAGAUCCUCAGUUCUUCUACCUUACGUCUGCUUUUCUUGAUGCUGUACUCAAAAGAGACUGCACCUAUAAAUAUACCUUGACAUUUUCCAGAAAGCAUCCUUCUACAGAAUCUUAAAAAAACCACCAAAGUAAUGGCAUGAUCUUAAAAAAAUACCACUUGGUAAAAAUAACUGGCUG